UAAGCAUAUCAAUAAGCGGAGGAAAAGAAACCAACAGGGAUUGCCCUAGUAACGGCGAGUGAAGCGGCAACAGCUCAAAUUUGAAAUCUGGCCUCUUUUGGGGUCCGAGUUGUAAUUUGCAGAGGGCGCUUUGGAGUCGGCAGCGGUCCAAGUUCCUUGGAACAGGACGUCACAGAGGGUGAGAAUCCCGUACGUGGUCGCUAGCCUUCGCCGUGUAAAGCCCCUUCGACGAGUCGAGUUGUUUGGGAAUGCAGCUCUAAAUGGGAGGUAAAUUUCUUCUAAAGCUAAAUACUGGCCAGAGACCGAUAGCGCACAAGUAGAGUGAUCGAAAGAUGAAAAGCACUUUGGAAAGAGAGUCAAAAAGCACGUGAAAUUGUUGAAAGGGAAGCGCUUGCAGCCAGACUUGCCUGUAGUUGCUCAUCCGGGCUUUUGCCCGGUGCACUCUUCUAUAGGCAGGCCAGCAUCAGUUUGGGCGGUUGGAUAAAGGUCUCUGUCAUGUACCUCUCUUCGGGGAGGACUUAUAGGGGAGGCGACAUGCAACCAGCUCAGACUGAGGUCCGCGCAUUUGCUAGGAUGCUGGCGUAAUGGCUGUAAGCGGCCCGUCUUGAAACACGGACCAAGGAGUCUAACAUCUAUGCGAGUGUUUGGGUGUCAAGCCCGAGCGCGCAAUGAAAGUGAACGGAGGUGGGAACCCCUCGGGGCGCACCAUCGACCGAUCCUGAUGUCUUCGGAUGGAUUUGAGUAAGAGCAUAGCUGUUGGGACCCGAAAGAUGGUGAACUAUGCUUGAAUAGGGUGAAGCCAGAGGAAACUCUGGUGGAGGCUCGCAGCGGUUCUGACGUGCAAAUCGAUCGUCAAAUUUGGGCAUAGGGG
rnacentral:rRNA from 1 species